UAGGUCCCACAGGAGACUACUUCCCUCAGCCAGGCUGGAAGGAUCUGCCAAUAAAUCCAGAGUCCCAGAGGAGAAGGGAAAAAAAAUAUCACAUAGAAUGACUCAUGCCUCUGCCCUCCGCACCUACCUACCACCCACCUGUUGCCCUGAUAAAAGAAGGAUAGCACAGGGUCACCUCUGACAUCAACUUUUAUCACCUUCAGACAAUUCCCAUUGAGGAAAUUGUAAAUUCGGAUUUUGCCAUCUCCACAGGCACUGAUGACCCGGAGGUAGAGGAGAGACACCUGCAGCACCUCCCUGGAAGGGAAGAGAAGGACAGACAACACCUGCCUUGUGGAAAAAGGUUGGAGCCUUCUGCUGGGGUUGGGAGAUGCAGCCAUGAGAAAAGUCGCCACAGUCUUGGUGCGAGAAGGAACCAAGCAGGCGGCCAUCACGGUGAGGUAGUUACGUGUGCUGUCUAGUGGCUUCUCGGAAGACCGUCUUAAAGGCUUAUGUGUGUUACCUAAGAACUCUUUCAGUGCUGGAUCUGCUACCCAAGGGGCGUUUGCUGGAAAUAGUCACAGUGAAUAAUUGGGCUCUUGCUAACUGAGGUCCUAGAAACACAGUAAGGCAAAUGAUACAACUGACUAAAAAGCCAGGAAAAUGCUGGGGAGUGAGAGGUCCAGGAGUGUAUUCACGGGGAUCUGAUGAUAACACACGUCCAGAGCUCAAGCUUAGGAAAGGUCUGCGAUAAAAACAAAAACACAUCACUCAGGAUGAAGCAGGAGACUGACAGCUUGGGGCUUUAUAACAAGACCUUACCGUAGAAACAAACCAGCUAAAGCGAUGGCCAAGGGGAAUGUGAUCUCACUGAUAACGCACAUUUCUCCAAUCCGUAACCUCUUUUACCUUACAACUAGAAGAAAGAAAACAAAAAACAAAAUCGAGCAGAAGGCGAGAAAUAAUAAAAACUAUAGAAUAAGUUAAUUGGGUUAAUUUAAAAAAAGGUCCAGCAAAUCAAUGGAACAAAAUGUUAAUCCUUUGAAAAUAUUAACAAAGCUUGAUAGACACCCAACAAGUUUUAACUAAAACUGGCCAAGAAAACAGAGGAACGGCUCUGGGUGUAGCUCAGGCUGUUUGCCUAGGCUGGGAGGCCCCCCCCCCCCCGGGGUUCAAUUCCUAGCCCUGAAAAAGAAGUGGAACAAGAGAGAGGUUUCAAGAAAAGAAGGAAGGAACUAGGGAACAUUUCUGCUGAUGGAUGGAAAGUUCUAUAGCACUCGGUAGGCUGAAGCAAGAUCACAAGUCCCAAGCCAGCCUGGGCUACCCAGGAAGGCCUACUCUCAUGCCACCCCACUAGAGCAGCAGCACCCAGAGGGACUGAUCCACUGAAGACGGCACAUUUACCACCCGACUCCCCAACACCUACUUAGGAUGCUUGAAGGCCAUCAGGCACCGUUCAUACUUUCCCACCAUGCUCCAGGCCAUGACCAGGCCAUCAACACCUCCAGAGACGAGAUGCCACUGGUUAAAGAACAGGCACUUCACAGCUCCCUCGUGCCCAGUGAGAGUCUGCAAGAAAAGAUGCCAGUACUUUCAGACCUUCUCACAUUAGCCCGUGACUCCUCUGCUGGCCAGAUUUGGAGACUGCUUUAGUGGAACCCCAAAGCUAUAUCCCACUUCUCCCGUGACUGCCCCUCGUGUAGCAUGUCCCUCAGCUGACUUCUCCUCUAAGAAGGCCAGGCAAGCCCAUGCCUCUCUCUUGGAAGUGGCUCUUCCUCACUUAGGAGGAAUAUGACUAAGGUUAAGUUCCUGUUCUGGUGGGUCAGUGGCUGGGGCAGGCUCCAUCUCUCUGGAGCACAGAGAGGCCUGAAGUCCCUCUUGUUGAUUGUCAUCCUCAGCUCUUUGGCCAUGACUCAGAGGGUGUAUAAGGGCAUUCUAAUGCCUGCAGCUGAGGCUCAACCACAAACAAGACCAGUAUGGAAAGAUUUCACUAUGGCCAUGUGGUCCUACCUCAAGCAAGAUUUUACUAGUACCCACUAAAGCCAGGAGUCCAAAUCUGGUAAGAACAUGUUUAACACAUGCUAUGGCUUGGAUGCAUGACACAGAAUCCAUGUGUUAGCUAUUGAAUCCGCAAAUCUGUAAGUCAAUGUUCAAACUUCAAAAGCCUCUGAGAGGUGAUAGCAUUGUGAUGCUGUGCUCUCGGUAAUGUAUUGAUCUGGCCAGGGACUUGUGUCUUGUCCUGGGAGAGACUUUGUUAUAAGAGCAGUGGCCUCUGGCAUGCUUUCUCUAUCUCAUCAUCUGAUGCUCUCCACCAUGCCAUGGCCCAUCCCAAAGGCCUUUCCUGGAUGCUGGCACUGUGCUCUUUAGACUAAGUGCCCAAUAAAUUUCUACUCUUUAUAAA